rnacentral:lncRNA from 1 species
UCUAAAGAAUUAGCAAAAAAGGGUUUUCACUGCAGCAAAUCUCAUCUGUUUUUUUCCUGCACAGGUACUGACUUGAUACAAUCUACUCACCACUGGAAGGCAUCUCUUUAACUGGAGAAAGCAGUAUAUGAAAAUGGUGAAAUGGAGCUAUGUGGAGUGAUCUGGAAGGAGCUGUGUUCUCUGCUGGUAGGGUGAUGAGGAGAGAGCAAGUCUCUUAUCUGGCAAGGACAUUUGUACUUGUAGUGCCAGUAUUGUCACAAGGCUGUGCACAUGCCUGGUUUUUUUUACAUGAUAAGGAACAAGGUUGUUGACACUCCUCUGGGCUGACAGUGAAGCUCUCAGUCAAAGAAUACAGACUUGAUCUCUUCUGAGUUAUUGUUCCAAUCCUCACCUGUAAGCUGCCGAGGAUAAGCACUGCACCUCAGAGCCAAUUGUUACUUCUAUAUUUAUUGCUUAUUGUGAAGCAGUAGAAGCUGUUGAUGUUUUAAGCGGUGUCAUAUUUUCAAGUGGGGGAGGCUCUUUCCUGUGCAAAUACUUCUGAAGAACUAGAUACUGAACAGUGCUGGGCAGUUUUAGUGCUCCGUACUGGAAUCAGUAGUUGUACAGAUUCAUAAAACUUGCUGAAGUAGCGUAACUGGAAAAGAUUUACACCUUACAAGUAUAACAUCACUACCUAAAGAGGCUGAUGUAUUAUUAUGUGGCCACUCUCCUUACAGCUUCAGCUGCUGGGUUUUGCUGGCAUAGUGUGGUCUAUGUAGUGUUCUCAGCUCAACAUUUGCAUAGGGAAUAGGAAAAAGGUCUGUUGAAUGAAAAUGAUCAAUUUAAAGCUCCCCUCCCAAGUAGCAAAUAGUUUUCCCCCCUUUCUGGUUUCAGCUGGACUAAACUGCAGCAAACAGCGAAUUUUCUAAUAAAACACCUUAUCUGAAGUUCA